CUGGCAGUAAACGGUGCACACUUGGUGUGGGGGGAUUCGACCCCUUCCGCGCCGGAGCUAACGCGUUAAGUGUGCCGCCUGGGAAGUACGGUCGCAAGAUUAAAACUCAAAGAAAUUGACGGGGACCCGCACAAGCGGUGGAGUAUGUGGCUUAAUUCGAUGCAACGCGAAGAACCUUACCUGGUCUUGACAUGCAUUCUGUCGUCAGUGAAAGCUGGCUAGGUUAGCAAUAACCGGUUUGCACAGGUGC
rnacentral:rRNA from 1 species